rnacentral:rRNA from 1 species
UACGGAGGGUGCAAGCGUUAAUCGGAAUUACUGGGCGUAAAGCGCGCGUAGGCGGUUUGUUAAGUCGGAUGUGAAAGCCCUGGGCUCAACCUGGGAACUGCAUACGAUACUGGCAAGCUAGAGUGCAGUAGAGGGGGGUAGAAUUCCAGGUGUAGCGGUGAAAUGCGUAGAUAUCUGGAGGAAUACCGGUGGCGAAGGCGGCCCCCUGGACUGACACUGACGCUGAGGUGCGAAAGCGUGGGUAGCAAACAGG